ACCAUCCACUUCUAAAAUUAUUCCACACAUAUCACCCAUUAACUUCCUUCCCUGUUAGCACAGUGAUUAACAUAAUUGAAUCAGAAUUCAUAUAAACACAAACACAUGCAUGAAGUAAUUUAAAAACAUUUCAAGAUGCAUUGGACUUCAUGGUCAAUGACAAUUACGAAUAACAGGAAGAUAUAUUCCAUCACAAUGCAACUCUAGAGCAAUAUAUAUCUUGUAUUGCUUUUAUAAAUAGUACAAAUUGCAUCCUAAAUGAUUUUCCUUUUUGAUGUAUAUACAAAAAACACCCUACUUUAUCUUGCUCUUGAGCAAUAAAAUCUAAUUCCGUUCUUAAUGGGGCAACCACAACACUGUAUUACACCAUCAAACAACCCCAGCAUUUUGCAGGUACAAUGUUGUUAAACUGUGCACACUGACAGUCAGCGGAGUGAGAAUAUGGGAACAAUGUUUGUGUGAGACUCAGAUCAGCGAUACCGCCAGUACCUCUUGCGUCAUGAAAGCUCGCAGUGUGGAAAUGACAAGCAACAAAUCAGCUAAUUGCACAUAUAAACCCCCACAACCAAUCUCAGGCCAUUUAUAUCAGAUGGGAAUCUGUUAAAGGAUGGUCGCAUCACGGCAAAACAUUCUGUAUGUGGGUCAAACCGACCAUUACAUCAGCCUGCCAUCCCUGGCGGAGUCUAUUUACGUAUCUCCAACCUCCAGUUUUUCAGACCCUCGAGACAACACAGCUCAACUUGUGGAGGGGGCAAGGUGUAGCGUACCUAGUGUCACAGCGGUCUGUCAUCCACCCGCCAACUGUUUACCAAGUCAUCAGCCAAUCAGAGAGCAGUAUGCAAGUGAUGAAUCACCUGUGGUCUGGAGGUUAGACACGCUCAGGUAUAGAAGGCUGUGUCAGUAUCUGAGGCCGUCAGUCGAGGGGGUCGCAGUUGAGGGAACGCUACCUCAUAGUCCUAUGCCAGUGUCAUCAUGCAGUUUUUCUGAAAUAAAACACACAAGAUAAGUGGUUCAUUCUGUGAUUCA